GAUGAACGCUAGCGGCAGGCCUAACACAUGCAAGUCGAGCGGGAUUAAUUAGUAGCUUGCUAUUAAUUAUGAGAGCGGCGCACGGGUGCGUAACGCGUAUGCAACCUACCUUGUACUGGGGUAUAGCCCGGAGAAAUUCGGAUUAAUCCCCCAUAGUAUUAUCGAUUCGCAUGUUUUGAUAAUUAAAGGUUACGGUACAAGAUGGGCAUGCGUCCCAUUAGCUAGAUGGUGAGGUAACGGCUCACCAUGGCAACGAUGGGUAGGGGGCCUGAGAGGGUGGUCCCCCACACUGGUACUGAGACACGGACCAGACUCCUACGGGAGGCAGCAGUGAGGAAUAUUGGUCAAUGGGCGAAAGCCUGAACCAGCCAUGCCGCGUGCAGGAAGACGGUCCUAUGGAUUGUAAACUGCUUUUAUUUGGGAAUAAACUCUCGGACGUGUCCGAGCCUGAAGGUACCAAAUGAAUAAGCACCGGCUAACUCCGUG
rnacentral:rRNA from 1 species